UACGUAGGGGGCUAGCGUUGUCCGGAAUCAUUGGGCGUAAAGCGCGUGUAGGCGGUCCGGUAAGUCCGCUGUGAAAGCCAGGGGCUCAACCCUUGGAUGCCGGUGGAUACUGUCGGGCCCGAGUACGGAAGAGGCGAGUGGAAUUCCUGGUGUAGCGGUGAAAUGCGCAGAUAUCAGGAGGAACACCAAUUGCGAAGGCAGCUCGCUGGGACGUUACUGACGCUGAGACGCGAAAGCGUGGGGAGCAAACAGG
rnacentral:rRNA from 1 species